UUGGUAUUCUCUCUGCUGUUUUCCAUUCCAGUCCUCUGUACUAAUGAUUGAAAUGUUUAUUCCUUAUCCAUUCAUGUGCUACUAGCUUUAUUGUAACCAGAACCUUACAAUGCUUGUAAUGUCCUCAUUAUUGCAGUCGGUUAUUAUUCCAGUGUUAAUGACUACUAUCCAAGAUCUAGGAUUCACAUUAUGAUCUAAGAAUUACUCCAGACUGAAUCAAAUUGUACCAAUUUCUGUUAUCUCAAUUACAGUAAGGCCCUUUUCAUCCCAAACACGUGGGCAUUGAUUAAAGCAUGUCUCAGAGUCUCUCAGUCACAUAGUUUCUCCACCUUAUUACCUUUGUCUGCAGAUGAGACUGUACUAGCAUUGAUAUUCAAAAGUAGAGCCAAAUAAAAGUUUCCAAGAGUUACUGCACAGAGUGGCAGUCACACUGGAGAUUCCAGUGGAAUCAGUCCAGGAGAAAUCACAUAAGUUUCUGGACAUAUUAGGUGCCUCCAUGCCAGCAUGCCUUGUAAUUCCCAUAAAUGUGGGCCUUUUGUAGUCAGCCAAAUUACUCUGGCAGAUGUCUGCUUCCCUAUUAUUGACAAUACAGAUGGGUGGAUUGAUGUUAUCCAAUGCUAUCAGCAAGCUUUGAACAAGUCUAUGAACACUAGUGCUGUAUUGUUAACUGCAGCAUCAUUCUAUUAGUGGGACAGGUGAGCAUCAAGGUUAACAAGGAUCCCUGCCACGAGAUAAGGAAUUGCAUUAAACUUUAGUUAAACAAAAGUGAAACUAACCUAAUUCUAAAUUAUUUUCUUUUAGUUAUGAACUACUGCUGUUUUUAUCCAGGGUUUUUUCAUGGAAUUUAGGAUUGUUGUCAGUGAAAUAUAAAAAAAAAAUAUAUUGAUAAAGAACUGUGGAACUCAGCUAGAGCUAUAUUUUGUAAGAUUUAGUUAAUUUUCCUGCAAGAAACAAAUGUGGUUCUCUUAAUACAUCUCUGUGUUAAGUAUUUGUUUGAACUUUAAGGGUCAUUUUGUCCAAAGGCAAGCAACAUCAGCUGUCUUCUUAGGGAAAUAUACUGUUGCAAUUACCUUUGCUAAACGUUAUUAUUUCAACUGGAUCCCAAAUUUUGGAUAAAAGCGUGGUUUACAGCUGAAUCUACUCUGUCUCACCAUUUUGGGAGAUGCAGUCAGCCAUUCAUAGUUGAAUCUGCAUUGUUUGACAUUCAAAUAAUUACUUGCUGAUGGUACAUAUGGUUCUCUGAGAUGUUAUCAGUGUUCACCCUACAGCAUACUCUGUUUUCUUCUCUUUUAUUUUUUUUUUGCUGGCACUGCCUGCCAUGGACACUGAAUUGUAAGUGACAUUGAAGGGAGCGAGGGUUCCAUGUCCUUUAUGCUAUACAUGAGACACAAAGAAAAGCACUGAUAUAGAUUACAGCUUCAGCUGGAAGUCUUGGUGCUGCUUUGCCUGCACAGUGAUUCUUACUGGAUGUAUGUUGAUUUGCAAGUGUUCUUCUAUUCGGGAUCCAAACUCAGUGAUAGAUUGUACUUUACGCAGGCUGUUAAAUCAUUUGUUUACUACAUUGCACUUUCAACCAGGUAACCCUUCAAAACAACCUUCCUAUU
ensembl:lncRNA